rnacentral:rRNA from 1 species
AGUGAACGCUGGCGGUAGGCCUAACACAUGCAAGUCGAACGGCAGCACAGUAAGAGCUUGCUCUUACGGGUGGCGAGUGGCGGACGGGUGAGGAAUACAUCGGAAUCUACUUUUUCGUGGGGGAUAACGUAGGGAAACUGACGCUAAUACCGCAUACGACCUACGGGUGAAAGCAGGGGAUCUUCGGACCUUGCGCGAUUGAAUGAGCCGAUGUCGGAUUAGCUAGUGGGCAGGGUAAAGGCCCACCAAGGCGACGAUGCGUAGCCGACCUGAGAGGAGGAUCGGCCACACUGGAACUGAGACACGGUCCAGACUCCUACGGGAGGCAGCAGUAGGGAAUCUUCCGCAAAGGGCGAAAGCCUGACGGAGCAACGCCGCGUGAGUGAUGAAGGUCUUCGGAUCGUAAAACUCUGUUAUUAGGGAAGAACAAAUGUGUAAGUAACUAUGCACGUCUUGACGGUACCUAAUCAGAAAGCCACGGCUAACUACGUG